GUUGCUUUCUCAUUCAGAUAGAAGGGGAGAGAAAGAGGAGAGAUGCCACAACGCCGUAGUAUCUGGUGCCCAGGUAUUCUCCUUGGGCCACACACAUCAACAGUGCCCAGGUAUUCUCCUUGGGCUACACAUGUCAACAAGGCAUGUGAUUUUCAUGUAAUGUUCAUACAGAGGGUAUGCCCUACACAGAUGUGGGUUUGUAAGAAGAAAUUGGACUGUUUUGGAACUCCAUUACCCAAUUUUUCAUGGACAUAUAUGUAGGUAAACAAGAUGAUGGCAAUUGGGGUUUAAACUGGAGGUGGAUAAUUUAUUCUCUUGGAGUAUUUACUGCUUCAAAUAUCAAAAUGAACAGACUGCUGGCUAUGCUGGUACCAAAAGUAAGUGAUAUCUUUUUCAAUACACAAAAAUUAUCUGUCUGAUUUCUGCAGCAUUUUACAGGGAUUGAGCCUCACAAUACAGGGUUACCUAAUAAAGUAUACCAUAUAAAUCUCCA